GGGGUUUAGGAGUGCAAAAUCUGCAAUUUAAGUGUUGUGGAAUAUGCAGAGUGGUUGGGCAAGCAAAGGGGGCUCGCUGGACGAGUUUAUGGAGUUCUGGUAGUGAGUUUCAGUGGUUAGGCGAGCCAGCUUGCUGGGCUCGUGGAGCCUGUUAUUUCUACUCUUGUUGGGCUUGUGGAGCUUGUUGUUUCUGCUCCUUUUAAAC
rnacentral:lncRNA from 1 species